AUUAGGGUAGGAUUUCUUAAAAAUGCUUUUUGUUUCCUGAAAGUGUUAAAAAGUUACUUAAAAUGUCUUGUAGUGAGGAUGACAAUAUGCAUAAAAAUAGAUGAUGCUGAUAACUCUUCAUAAAUGAAUGAAAAUAAAAUUUUUCAUCCAAGGGAAAGUGUAUGGAAAUUGUAUUUUAUUGGUAAAAGGCAUCAAGAAUCAUGAAGCAAGGUUGGAAUGUGUUAUAUUUUUAUGCAAACCCAAAAAAUAUUUAACUUAAAUGUUAUGAACAAAUGGGGAUGUUUGGUUCUAACAUAUUUCAUUUUAUGUGGAUUGAUAUCAUAUUUUUUC